UGCAAGUCGAGCGGAUGAGAAGAGCUUGCUCUUCGAUUCAGCGGCGGACGGGUGAGUAAUACCUAGGAAUCUGCCUGGUAGUGGGGGACAACGUUUCGAAAGGAACGCUAAUACCGCAUACGUCCUACGGGAGAAAGCAGGGGACCUUCGGGCCUUGCGCUAUCAGAUGAGCCUAGGUCGGAUUAGCUAGUUGGUGAGGUAAUGGCUCACCAAGGCUACGAUCCGUAACUGGUCUGAGAGGAUGAUCAGUCACACUGGAACUGAGACACGGUCCAGACUCCUACGGGAGGCAGCAGUGGGGAAUAUUGGACAAUGGGCGAAAGCCUGAUCCAGCCAUGCCGCGUGUGUGAAGAAGGUCUUCGGAUUGUAAAGCACUUUAAGUUGGGAGGAAGGGCAGUAAGCGAAUACCUUGCUGUUUUGACGUUACCGACAGAAUAAGCACCGGCUAACUCUGUGCCAGCAGCCGCGGUAAUACAGAAGGUGCAAGCGUUAAUCGGAAUUACUGGGCGUAAAGCGCGCGUAGGUGGUUCGUUAAGUUGGAUGUGAAAUCCCCGGGCUCAACCUGGGAACUGCAUCCAAAACUGGCGAGCUAGAAUAAGGCAGAGGGUGGUGGAAUUUCCUGUGUAGCGGUGAAAUGCGUAGAUAUAGGAAGGAACACCAGUGGCGAAGGCGACCACCUGGGCUCAUACUGACACUGAGGUGCGAAAGCGUGGGGAGCAAACAGGAUUAGAUACCCUGGUAGUCCACGCCGUAAACGAUGUCAACUAGCCCUUGGAAUCCUUGAGAUUUUAGUGGCGCAGCUAACGCAUUAAGUUGACCGCCUGGGGAGUACGGCCGCAAGGUUAAAACUCAAAUGAAUUGACGGGGGCCCGCACAACCGUGGAGCAUGUGGUUUAAUUUUAACACGCGAAAAACCUUACCAGGCCUUGACAUCCAAUGAACUUUCCAGAGAUGGAUUGGUGCCUUCGGGAACAUUGAAACAGGUGCUGCAUGGCUGUCGUCACUCGUGUCCUGAGAUGUUGGGUUAA
rnacentral:rRNA from 1 species